GCACUGGUUUAGCUCAGUGGUUACUUCGCUCACAUUUCUCUCUGUAGAAAAGCUGAUCUCCAUCCCUCCGUGGGAUCGAACCACGGGUGCUGUCCAGUGUUUUU
rnacentral:vault_RNA from 15 species